CUCAGAAAAUGUGUAAGAUUGCAAAGAUCAAUGAAUGGAAUCGAAAGGCAAUUGGUUCGUGGAAAUAGAAAGCAAUUGAAAAGGCAGUUGUAUAAUUUUAGCAGUGUUAUAAUAAUAGAUUGAAGUCAACAAAGUAUCACAAAUUUUUGUAUAUAUAUGAGUGGUUUAAUUCUUUUGGAUGAGAUAGGUUCAUUUUACUUCAUGGAAAUGAACGCUAGAAUCUACGUUACUUAAAUGAUUGUUUUUUAAUAGAAAAAACAAACACUAUCCCAACCUAUGCAAAGCAUGGGUACCUAUACUAGUUUGUAAAAAACUAGCAUGCCUUGUAAACAGUAGAUGAAACUGGAUGUCUUUUGUCUUAUAACACUAACCCAUUCUGAAACGUUAAAUAGGGUUCUCUUUUGAUUUUGUAAAAUGGGUUUUGUUGAAUUGGAGUUUUGGGUUUGGUUAAGGAGAUAACUUCUUAAUUCUAGAUUGUAUAUAUGUUAUGUUUUCUUGUUUUUGCAAGUUAAAACAUGGAUGUGAAGACCAUCUCAAAGCAAAAUCAAAUCAUUCAAAGGUCGUCUUCAUUUACGUGAUCCAAAUUCAAUGAAAAUGGAUGGGGUGACUGAAGGUAAUCUGAAACUGGUAAUGGAGGUUCAAACUGUUGCACCGGGGGAGGGCGAGAGGUGAUAUUUGUACAUACAUAUGACCUCUUGUUGGUUGCCGAUAACCUGUUUGUUGAAAUGCCUCAAAGAAAUAUCUUAUUUAGGAACUCAUUCAUUUGUGGAUGUGAUCUUAUUAUUUGCAAUUUCAAUUUCAAAGAAAUACUAACACUGCCUUCACGCGUGUAAGUAAAAUCAAUCAACUUUGUUAUUUAAUAAAUUCCAGAUUUCUUAUUAAA